rnacentral:rRNA from 1 species
UACAGAGGGCUCAAGCGUUGUUCGGAUUCAUUGGGCGUAAAGGGUGCGUAGGCGGCGCGGUAAGUCGGGUGUGAAAUCUCGGGGCUUAACUCCGAAACUGCAUUCGAUACUGCCGUGCUUGAGGACUGGAGAGGAGACUGGAAUUUACGGUGUAGCGGUGAAAUGCGUAGAUAUCGUAAGGAAGACCAGUGGCGAAGGCGGGUCUCUGGACAGUUACUGACGCUGAGGCACGAAGGCCAGGGGAGCAAACGGG